GGCUGGCCUCGAACUUGUGGAGAUCCUCCUGCCUCAGCCUCCCGAGUGCUAGGAUGACAAGCAUGCGCCCCCACGCCCUGAAUAUAAUAAUUUUGAAGAGUUCCAUGCAGCUGUAUGUUACACAUGUUGCACGCGUAUUUAUCUGUCCUUCUGAGUUGCAGACCUGGCAUCAUAUGAUGGAGAUCUGGCUGUGAGCAGACAGGGAGAACAGGAAAUUGAUACUGAUCUCUUCAGGCUGAAGAACCAUCAAGUAGAUGCAGAGAGAGGGGAAAGGAAGGUCGUGAGGCUGGUUUAUGACUUCCAGGAAAGAGGAAACAUGACUGAAAAGAGAAGGUUAUGAGAUCUUCAUGAUUCAAAUAUCUCAGAGAGGAUGGUAUUGCAAAUCCUCCUGCCUUGUUAUAAUCUGUGAGAAUGCAAAAGGGAAAAAAUGAAAGUGUAGCUGAACUGAUAUGAAUAACAAGAUGUUUCUGAGGGUGGAAAUGGAAAGGAAAAUCUAUUAAUGGAAAAUAUACCAGAGGGAAUAUCACACACGAGUCACUUUAUAGGACUCCACCUAUGGAUGGGCAUGAGACAGUGGGGUGACUCUACCUGUUUUGAUGAUAUGUUUUAUAUUUUCCUGUGGAAUGCCCUUUUCUUCAGCCAACUUUGCCAACUGCUGCUCUUUUUCCCCUGUCACGCUGUGUCUUUGUCCUGUAUUUCAUGGAAGACAAGUGGAAUAAAUCUGUCUUAGGAUGCAAAGUAUCCCCUGGCCCACGCUGUGCUGGUGUAACCUGGUAAAUUCUACAUCUCCACCUCCUUCCUCUCCAGCAGCAACUACCUGAACUACCAUGCCC
rnacentral:lncRNA from 1 species